GGCUGGUCCAAGUACAGUAGUGUUCACAACUAAUCAAUGACAACCAGUUAUAGAUUCCUUUGUUCCUUCUCCACUCCCACUGCUUCAUUUGACUAACCUAAA
rnacentral:Y_RNA from 1 species